GUAACGGAAGGAUAUUGUCGUUUGGACUAGUGGAUUAGUUUUGUUGUGGAUUUGGCGAUCAAACUAAUCGCGGGAAAGUUGAUAUUUUGGAGCUUGUUAGCGGAUGUUCACGAAUUGAUUUGGAUGUGACAUCUCGUAUGUGCGUGUGAAAGCAGAGUGCGAGUUUCUGCAAGUUGUUGCGCACCGUUCAUCGGGCGCUAAGGUUAUUCGCGUUCGUGCGAAUUUUAGGGAUUUCGAGAAGCCACCCUAUGUGCGAGUGAGAUUGCCCAAAGGGGCGGUAAGUUAAAAGAAGUAUAUCCGUGGAACGUGAAGUAAAAGAGUUGUAUAGAGAAAGACGAGCAAAAAGAAGAGAUACUGUGAAGUGGAACGAGACAAUUAAGAUACCCACCAGUGGCGGAUAAGUGUCGCGACGUCGGCGACUUCAAAGACCGUGCAACACCGACGGCAGUGACAAUCCAGACAACCCUAUGGCUCGAUGAGUGGCACCCGGCUCGAGUCCAACUCGAAUUAUGAAACAUUUCCCACAAAUUAUCUUUUCAUCGAUUUCCGAUGGAUAUGACCAUUCGGAAGAAAUGGCUUCGAUUCUUCGGACAGGACCCAAACAGCAAUACUAAAAACAUGUACAUUUGCUCGCUUCACUUCAGCCCAGAUUGUUUCGUGCAUAUCGAUGGCUUGGAAGAACAAUAUCAUCGAAAACUGAUACCAACAGCUUUUCCUACUGUCAGAAAGGCCAACGAUUUUAUGCCUCGGGAAAUCAAAAUCGGACGGCUCGCUGAAAGGUCUUGAUUGACAUCAAGCAAAAGUUAAAUCCAGUAAAACAUCCGUAACAUGCGCGGAAUUGGCCCAACUUUCUA